rnacentral:tRNA from 1 species
GGGCUCGUAGAUCAGCUGGAAGAUCGCUGCCUUUGCAACCAAGGAUGCAGAAGUAUCCUAAGCAAAACAGGCAGAGGCCCUGGGUUCGAGUCCCAGCGGGUCCA